rnacentral:rRNA from 1 species
AUUGAACGCUGGCGGCAUGCUUUACACAUGCAAGUCGAACGGUAACAGGCCUUCGGGUGCUGACGAGUGGCGAACGGGUGCGUAAUGCAUCGGAACGUACCCAGAGGUGGGGGAUAACGCAGCGAAAGCUGUGCUAAUACCGCAUGUGAUCUGAGGAUGAAAGCGGGGGACCGAGCAGCAAUGUUUGGCCUCGCGCCUUUGGAGCGGCCGAUGUCGGAUUAGCUAGUUGGUGGGGUAAAGGCCUACCAAGGCGACGAUGCGUAGCUGGUCUGAGAGGACGACCAGCCACACUGGGACUGAGACACGGCCCAGACUCCUACGGGAGGCAGCAGUGGGGAAUUUUGGACAAUGGGCGAAAGCCUGAUCCAGCAAUGCCGCGUGCGGGAAGAAGGCCUUCGGGUUGUAAACCGCUUUUGGCAGGAACGAAACGGUGUCCGCUAAUACCGGGCGCUAAUGACGGUACCUGCAGAAUAAGCACCGGCUAACUACGUG